rnacentral:rRNA from 1 species
AGUGAACGCUGGCGGUAGGCCUAACACAUGCAAGUCGAACGGCAGCACAGUAAGAGCUUGCUCUUACGGGUGGCGAGUGGCGGACGGGUGAGGAAUACAUCGGAAUCUACUUUUUCGUGGGGGAUAACGUAGGGAAACUUACGCUAAUACCGCAUACGACCUACGGGUGAAAGCAGGGGAUCUUCGGACCUUGCGCGAUUGAAUGAGCCGAUGUCGGAUUAGCUAGUUAGCGGGGUAAAGGCCCACCGAGGCGACGAUCCGUAGCUGGUCUGAGAGGAUGAUCAGCCACACUGGAACUGAGACACGGUCCAGACUCCUACGGGAGGCAGCAGUGGGGAAUAUUGGACAAUGGGCGCAAGCCUGAUCCAGCCAUACCGCGUGGGUGAAGAAGGCCUUCGGGUUGUAAAGCCCUUUUGUUGGGAAAGAAAAGCAGCAGGUUAAUACCCCGCUGUUCUGACGGUACCCAAAGAAUAAGCACCGGCUAACUUCGUG